UACGAAGGGGCUAGCGUUGCUCGGAAUCACUGGGCGUAAAGGGUGCGUAGGCGGGUCUUUAAGUCAGGGGUGAAGUCCUGGAGCUCAACUCCAGAACUGCCUUUGAUACUGAAGAUCUUGAGUUCGGGAGAGGUGAGUGGAACUGCGAGUGUAGAGGUGAAAUUCGUAGAUAUUCGCAAGAACACCAGUGGCGAAGGCGGCUCACUGGCCCGAUACUGACGCUGAGGCACGAAAGCGUGGGGAGCAAACGGG
rnacentral:rRNA from 1 species